rnacentral:rRNA from 1 species
GAUGAACGCUGGCGGCGUGCCUAAUACAUGCAAGUCGAGCGAACAGAUGAGGAGCUUGCUCCUCUGACGUUAGCGGCGGACGGGUGAGUAACACGUGGAUAACCUACCUAUAAGACUGGGAUAACUUCGGGAAACCGGGGCUAAUACCGGAUAAUAUAUUGAACCGCAUGGUUCAAUAGUGAAAGACGGUUUUGCUGUCACUUAUAGAUGGAUCCGCGCCGCAUUAGCUAGUUGGUAAGGUAACGGCUUACCAAGGCAACGAUGCGUAGCCGACCUGAGAGGGUGAUCGGCCACACUGGAACUGAGACACGGUCCAGACUCCUACGGGAGGCAGCAGUAGGGAAUCUUCCGCAAUGGGCGAAAGCUUGACGGAGCAACGCCGCGUGAGUGAUGAAGGUCUUCGGAUCGUAAAACUCUGUUAUUAGGGAAGAACAAAUGUGUAAGUAACUAUGCACGUCUUGACGGUACCUAAUCAGAAAGCCACGGCUAACUACGUG